UACGAGGGGGGCAAGCGUUGUUCGGAUUUAUUGGGCGUAAAGGGUGCGUAGGCGGUUUGGCAAGUCUGAUGUGAAAUCUAUGGGCUCAACCCAUAGUCUGCAUCAGAAACUGCCGGGCUUGAGUAUGGGAGAGGUGAGUGGAAUUUCCGGUGUAGCGGUGAAAUGCGUAGAUAUCGGAAGGAACACCUGUGGCGAAAGCGGCUCUCUGGGACGGUACUGACGCUGAGACGCGAAAGCGUGGGGAGCGAACAGG
rnacentral:rRNA from 1 species